CUUUGCGCGGUUCGGUUAUCUUUGUUCAGUCUGUCAAAGAACGGGGCGUGGGAACAUGCGCCAAGGCCAUGCGCAGUGAAUGUGUUUGUAGUACAGAAAACAACCCUCUGCACUGCCUCGCUGAACCUUCCAGCACAACAGGGAAAGCACUGAUGUUUGGAGGCGGUAAUAGCUGCAUUUCAAAGUGCUCAUCCGGCGGCCAUCCUCUCUUCCUUUGAGAAACGUUUCCUGAGAGCCCAGUUUAAGGUCAGAGCACACGUGGUGUUUCAAGUCAAAUGCUAACAGCGUGGACUUCCUUUGAAGCGGCCUGGAAAGGUGGACAGGAAGGGGACCUCCGAAAUUUGGGCUCAGAAAACUGCUCUACCUCUUUUCUAUUUUCAGUGAAAAAAAAAGAAAAGAGAGAGACGGAUGCUCCUAUUGAGGUCAAAUAACCACGCAUAGUGAGUGAUGCCCUUAAUUCUGCAGGUGGACUGGUACAGGAAGGACUUCCGCAAUGUAGCCUCUGAAAGCAACAAUCGUCUCUGAAGUGUCACUCAAAAAAUAAAAUGCUCCUAUUAAGCUGUAAUUAGGAACACAGUACUCCGGAAAGGCCCCGUUUAUUCUGCAGGUGGACUGGGGCAAGAAAAAGGACCUCCGAAAUUAAGCCACAGAAAACACCAAGAGAAGUGUUACCCCGUUUGAUGUUCAGUCAAAAAAUAAAAUACUCCAAUUGAGCUUUUA